CGUUAAACGUUGGGUUUUUAGGAAAGAUAACUAGUUAGUUCAAAAAUAUAUAGGGUUAUGGAAUACACCCUUAGAUAAGUGUAUUAAAUAGGUUAUAUAUAUUCUUUUGAGUCAUUCUUAAAUAUGUCUCCUUUAUAUUCAGAUAAUCCUGAUAUUCUACCGGCGGGACGUCAGUAGGAUUUUCUUCGAUAUCAGCUUUGAGUUUUGUUGCUUUUGAGUCAGGCUUAUAGCUUGAUAGCAGGUCAUUUUGUUGGACCUUCAGAACCUGCUCUUUUGGUAGUAAUUUGUACCUUUCCUUUAUGUCUAGUUAGUGCUCCAAAACUCUGAACUUUUAUAAACUUUUGUAUUAAGACAAUUCAAUUAUAUUAUGAAGUUGAUUUUGUUAUUAA